rnacentral:rRNA from 1 species
UACGUAGGGUGCGAGCGUUAAUCGGAAUUACUGGGCGUAAAGCGUGCGCAGGCGGUGCUGUAAGACCGAUGUGAAAUCCCCGGGCUUAACCUGGGAAUGGCAUUUGGGACUGCAAGGCUGGAGUAUGGCAGAGGAGACUAGAAUUCCUGGUGUAGCAGUGAAAUGCGUAGAUAUCAGGAGGAAUACCGAUGGCGAAGGCAGGUCUCUGGGCCAAUACUGACGCUCAUGCACGAAAGCGUGGGGAGCAAACAGG